ensembl:lincRNA D230017M19Rik RIKEN cDNA D230017M19 gene
GCACCGCCCUCUCGACUUGGAAGCUGUCUCUCCGCGGGCCGGAGAAGCUCGUCUGUCAGCUCACGCUGGAAACUUGGGAACUAAGAGGAAACAGCUAUGAGCAGAGCAGGAUACCUCUCAUGGGCUUCUGUGACCUUUUACAUCCUGUCAGGAUCUUUCACACACUCUGGGGAUACAGGCAGAGCCUGUAACAGCAGGUACCAAAGAAUCACCAGGUUGGAAACUAUAUCCUUCUCCAGCAUUCCAGGAGCAGAGGCUCAAAGCAAUGGUUGGAGAAUGGCUGGAGCCUCAGUAUGGGUCACGGCAAGAAGUCAAAGGUGGGGCCGGCAAGGCGGCUCAACCAGUACAGAAGUUUGUCGCGAAGAUCGCUCAUCUAGAUACAACCACUGCGACCUCCCAUGGAAGGUGAGGACAAACACCGGAGCACUGUCCUCUGACCACCACAUGCUUGCUCUGUCACACAGGCAACUCAAGAAUACAUAACUGUGGCUGGGUUUGGUGGUGCAUACCUUUAAUCCCAGCACUUGGAAGGCAGAGGCAGGCGGAUCUCUGUGAGUUUGAGGCCAGCCAAAGCUACACAGUGAGACCCUAUCACAUAAAAAAAAAAUUUAAGGAGUGUUAAAAAUGUUUCUAAAGAAUAUGAACUAUAUUAGUAUUGGAGGCACCAGCAGUCAUGAUAUUCUGGCGCAGAUAAUCAUGGGAAUGGGUUGGGGUGAGUGCAGUCUUUCUAGUGUUAUAGGUGAUAAAACAAGACAUGAUACAGGAAGUGUGCACAUGCGCACACACCCACCACAACCACCCUAAGAGCUUUUGCUGCCCAGAGAAGUCCACUGGCCAUCAUAAGAAUAUGUGAUUAAACUAACUGAACAGCCAUUUAAAAAUUGCAUUUCUUUUAUACUUUAUGUGCUUGAGUACUUUGCCUGCACAUACAUAUGUGCACCACAUACCACGUGACUGGUGCCUGCUGAGAUAAUGUAUUAACGUUUUUGACAAUGUCAUGUAUGUACAUAAUUUUGGUCACUCUCGCCAUUACUGUCUCGCAUCUCUCCCCUACUUCCACUGAGCCUCCGCAAGCACCUUUUUUAUUUACAUAAAGGAAGGGAGGCUAUUGCCGCAAACAGAAACAACUGGGAAUGUUUGUUUUCCAUGACAAAAGUCAAGCUUGCAAGUGGAAAUGGAAUUCUGGGGAGGCUCAGGCUGCCAUGCUAAACUUUGAUUCAAGCAGCAGGUAGAGACAUAAAGAGAUGUGUCCUUUCAAAGUUACAGAACGAGCUGUGUCAACAUCUAGAUGCAAAGGAGCUCCUAAAGACAAUAAGUUAUGCUACAAGUUAAAUAGACCCAAGAUCCCAGUGUGACAGGAAGGCUCAAGUACAGAGCACAGAAAGUUCAUGACAUCAGGUUCGCUCUGACUUUAAAGAAAUUGUUGGGGUUGGGGUGUAGCUGAACUGGUGGGGUGCUUGUCUAGCAUGCACAAGGCCCAAAGGCAAUCUCUAACAGCAAAUAAAGCAGGUGUGGCGGCAGCAGCCUGUAACGCCAGCAGCAGCCUGUAACGCCAGCACAUAGGGCACCUAAGCAAGGGGGUCAGAAAUACAAGGCGCUCUGUUACAGAUCAAAUUCGGGACCAGCUCAGAGACAGGAGACCCGGUCUC